AAGACCAUACUUUCUGGCUCAUUUCUAUAGUUUGUUACUAGAGAAGUUUCUCAGAAUGUGUAGAGUCCCAAGUUAAUAGGUGAAGAGUAAAAACCAGA
ensembl:snoRNA U3 Small nucleolar RNA U3